rnacentral:rRNA from 1 species
AGCGGCGUACGGGUGCGGAACACGUGUGCAACCUGCCUUUAUCUGGGGGAUAGCCUUUCGAAAGGAAGAUUAAUACCCCAUAAUAUAUUGAUUGGCAUCAAUUGAUAUUGAAAACUCCGGUGGAUAGAGAUGGGCACGCGCAAGAUUAGAUAGUUGGUGAGGUAACGGCUCACCAAGUCAGUGAUCUUUAGGGGGCCUGAGAGGGUGAUCCCCCACACUGGUACUGAGACACGGACCAGACUCCUACGGGAGGCAGCAGUGAGGAAUAUUGGACAAUGGGUGAGAGCCUGAUCCAGCCAUCCCGCGUGAAGGACGACGGCCCUAUGGGUUGUAAACUUCUUUUGUAUAGGGAUAAACCUUUCCACGUGUGGAAAGCUGAAGGUACUAUACGAAUAAGCACCGGCUAACUCCGUGCCAGCAGCCGCGGUAAUACGGAGGGUGCAAGCGUUAUCCGGAUUUAUUGGGUUUAAAGGGUCCGUAGGCGGGCUCGUAAGUCAGUGGUGAAAUCUCAUAGCUUAACUAUGAAACUGCCAUUGAUACUGCGAGCCUUGAGUAAGGUAGAGGUAGCUGGAAUAAGUAGUGUAGCGGUGAAAUGCAUAGAUAUUACUUAGAACACCAAUUGCGAAGGCAGGUUACCAUGUCUUAACUGACGCUGAUGGACGAAAGCGUGGGGAGCGAACAGGAUUAGAUACCCUGGUAGUCCACGCCGUAAACGAUGCUAACUCGUUUUUGGGACUUCGGUUUCAGAGACUAAGCGAAAGUGAUAAGUUAGCCACCUGGGGAGUACGUUCGCAAGAA